ACGCUGGCGGCAGGCUUAACACAUGCAAGUCGAACGGUAGCAGGAGGAAGCUUGCUUUCUUGCUGACGAGUGGCGGACGGGUGAGUAAUGCUUGGGAAUCUGGCUUAUGGAGGGGGAUAACUACGGGAAACUGUAGCUAAUACCGCGUAGUGUCGAGAGACGAAAGUGCGGGACCGCAAGGCCGCAUGCCAUGAGAUGAGCCCAAGUGGGAUUAGGUAGUUGGUGGGGUAAAGGCCUACCAAGCCUGCGAUCUCUAGCUGGUCUGAGAGGAUGGCCAGCCACACUGGAACUGAGACACGGUCCAGACUCCUACGGGAGGCAGCAGUGGGGAAUAUUGCGCAAUGGGGGGAACCCUGACGCAGCCAUGCCGCGUGAAUGAAGAAGGCCUUCGGGUUGUAAAGUUCUUUCGGUAUUGAGGAAGGAGUGUAUGUUAAUAGCAUACAUUAUUGACGUUAAAUACAGAAGAAGCACCGGCUAACUCCGUGCCAGCAGCCGCGGUAAUACGGAGGGUGCGAGCGUUAAUCGGAAUAACUGGGCGUAAAGGGCACGCAGGCGGUUAUUUAAGUGAGGUGUGAAAGCCCCGGGCUUAACCUGGGAAUUGCAUUUCAGACUGGGUAACUAGAGUACUUUAGGGAGGGGUAGAGUUCCACGUGUAGCGGUGAAAUGCGUAGAGAUGUGGAGGAAUACCGAAGGCGAAGGCAGCCCCUUGGGAAUGUACUGACGCUCAUGUGCGAAAGCGUGGGGAGCAAACAGGAUUAGAUACCCUGGUAGUCCACGCUGUAAACGCUGUCGAUUUGGGGAUUGGGCUUUAAGCUUGGUGCCCGUAGCUAACGUGAUAAAUCGACCGCCUGGGGAGUACGGCCGCAAGGUUAAAACUCAAAUGAAUUGACGGGGGCCCGCACAA
rnacentral:rRNA from 1 species